rnacentral:rRNA from 1 species
GACGUAGGGCGCGAGCGUUGUCCGGAUUUAUUGGGCGUAAAGAGCUCGUAGGCGGCUUGUUGCGUCGGCCGUGAAAACCCAUGGCUUAACCGUGGGCUUGCAGCCGAUACGGGCAGGCUAGAGUUCGGUAGGGGAGACUGGAAUUCCUGGUGUAGCGGUGAAAUGCGCAGAUAUCAGGAGGAACACCGGUGGCGAAGGCGGGUCUCUGGGCCGAUACUGACGCUGAGGAGCGAAAGCGUGGGGAGCGAACAGG